GGAAUCUUCCGCAAUGGGCGAAAGCCUGACGGAGCAACGCCGCGUGAGUGAAGAAGGGUUUCGGCUCGUAAAGCUCUGUUGACGGGGACGAACGUGCGGUUUGCAAAUAGUGAACUGCAAUGACGGUACCCGUCGAGGAAGCCACGGCUAACUACGUGCCAGCAGCCGCGGUAAUACGUAGGUGGCGAGCGUUGUCCGGAAUUAUUGGGCGUAAAGGGAGCGCAGGCGGGAAGGCAAGUCAGUCUUAAAAGUGCGGGGCUCAACCCCGUGAUGGGAUUGAAACUGUCUUUCUUGAGUGCAGGAGAGGAAAGCGGAAUUCCUAGUGUAGCGGUGAAAUGCGUAGAUAUUAGGAGGAACAUCAGUGGCGAAGGCGGCUUACUGGGCUUUAACUGACGCUGAGGCUCGAAAGCGUGGGGAGCAAACA
rnacentral:rRNA from 1 species